rnacentral:tRNA from 1 species
GACAGCAUGGCGGAGCGGUCUAACGCGUUAGACUCAAGCGAAAGCUUGCCUCUGUUCAAGCAGAGGUAUACAUGAGAUUUCUAAUCCUCGUAUGAGGGCGCGAGUUCGAAUCUCGCUGCUGUCA